rnacentral:rRNA from 1 species
UUCGCAAUGCCCGAAAGGGUGACGAAGCGACGCCGCGUGCGGGAGGAAGGCCCUCGGGUUGUAAACCGCUGUCGGGAGUUAAGAAAUGCAAGAAUGUUAAUAGCGUUCUUGCUUGACUAAGGCUCCGGAGGAAGCCACGGCUAACUCUGUGCCAGCAGCCGCGGUAAUACAGAGGCGGCAAGCGUUGUUCGGAAUUAUUGGGCGUAAAGAGCACGUAGGCGGCUGUGUAAGUCGGUUGUGAAAGCCUUCCGCUCAACGGAAGAACGGCAUCCGAUACUGCAUAGCUUGAGUACGGGAGGGGAGAGUGGAACUUCUGGUGGAGCGGUGAAAUGCGUAGAUAUCAGAAGGAACGCCGGCGGCGAAAGCGACUCUCUGGUCCGAAACUGACGCUGAGUGUGCGAAAGCUAGGGGAGCAAACGGGAUUAGAUACCCCGGUAGUCCUAGCCGUAAACGAUGGGCACUAAGUAGAGGGGUUUU